rnacentral:tRNA from 1 species
GCCUGGAUGGCUCAGUCAGAAGAGCAUGAGACUCUUGAUCUUGGGGUCAUGGGUUCAAGCCCUAUGUUGGGUA